UACGGAGGAUGCAAGCGUUAUCCGGAAUGAUUGGGCGUAAAGCGUCCGCAGGUGGCAAUGUAAGUCUGCUGUUAAAGAGUCUGGCUCAACUAGAUAAAGGCGGUAGAAACUACAUAGCUAGAGUACGUUCGGGGCAGAGGGAAUUCCUAGUGUAGCGGUGAAAUGCGUAGAGAUUAGGAAGAACACCGGUGGCGAAAGCGCUCUGCUAGGCCGUAACUGACACUGAGGGACGAAAGCUAGGGGAGCGAAUGGG
rnacentral:rRNA from 1 species